rnacentral:lncRNA from 1 species
AGCAUCCGCCUGCUAUCAAUCCGGAGGCCAUAGCACGAGUUAUGCAACAGAUUCGGGACCAGAUUCGCGAUCACGAAGACCGGAAGAGGGCGCUCCUCGAAGAACAGCGUCAGCUCAUUCUUCAGGCAGCAAGUGGGCACCUGGGAGAAUAGAAGAGGACACUCUAAAAUAAGUAGUCUGUCGACGCAAAGUAAUCUGUUUUGGCUUUCUUUGUACUUCUUUGGUGGAGAUUUCUAAGUCUCUUUGUUGUCGUGGAGGUGGUCUGACCCUUAUCUUAUGUGUUUUUAAAUUAAAGAAUUUCUAUUAGUGUUUAAUCUAAGCCAUGGUCUGAAGUCUAGCCCGAAUAAUGCUGUCAUGUGUCUCUCACUUUCUUUUUUAAUUUCUGAUGUCGAUCCGGCCCUUGAGGCCAAGGAGUCUG